AACGUUGGCAACGUACUGCAUACGAUUUGACCACGUGACCUCUUUACAUAUAAACAAAAUCACACGCGAAUUGCAACACAACGUGGCAAUACAGAUCAGACGACGGGUCGUGUUGAAAACUCGUCAUUUAAGUGGAAUAAUGACAUUUGACGAUCCGGAGUGUGUUAUGAAGAAAUCGGAAUUGUUGGAUAUUAAGAUGGCAGGAAUUUUGGAAGUUAAAAAGGAGAAGAAAACGCGUCGUGGAAAGAAGAAGGGCCGAAAUUCGGGAACAGUUUUUGGAAAAGUCUGAGGAAAACACAGUCGAUCGACUUCAGUGCUCGAUCAGUUAACCAACUGAUGACUACCUUUCGCCCCGUUUAUAUUGGGAUGUGAAAAGAACAAACAAAGGUUUCGACUGGUGCUUAGCAAGCCAUGGGGCCCACUGUUCCACAACAGUAAAACUGUGCACCAGGUCGGAAUAUGAGGCCUUUUGGAUUAGUCUGGAGGCAUAAUUCCAAAAGUGGUUCCCAAACUGGCCAAAGUUUUUUUAUGGUGCAAAAAUCAUAGUAACUUGGUCACAUAUUUCUAUUUUUUCAUGAAUUAUGGGGCUCUUUAAACGUGGGUAUAAUGACAUUUUUACUGUACAACUCCUGAGUGUAUAAACUAUUUAUACUGUUUUAAGUGAUGUUGAAAACUACUCUUCAAGAGACUAGCCUAUGUGAUCUCUUCUAUUUUCUUUCCUUUUUUAUACAAGAUUGUGAGUUGCCAUCAAUCUGUGAACAAGGAACUUGAUGUUGGUAUUUGAUUAAAGCAGCAUUGCUGCACAAUAUGUACCUCUGUACUCAACAUUUUAAUGAGAGAAUGAUAAAGUGAGUACCAUAUGUGCAAGUCAAAUUAAGUUGAAUCUUAAAAUUUCAAAUAGUUUGAAUAUGUGUUUACAGACAUUAUUACAACAAAUUCUUGUUUUCAGGUACAGAAUAGUCAUACGGUAUAAAUGUAGCUGCUUAAAAUCACUGUAAAUUGUAAUAUAAUUUUUUUAUUUUGUUCCUUUCACAGAAAAUCACUAAAACUGUUGUGUGUUUACUGCAUGUUUUAUUAACUACAUGUAUGUUUUAUUAUAUGACUUUAAAGUGUUUUAUGAACAAUAAAUUCUAAAAUUGCA